rnacentral:rRNA from 1 species
GCGAAUGGAUUAAGAGCUUGCUCUUAUGAAGUUAGCGGCGGACGGGUGAGUAACACGUGGGUAACCUGCCCAUAAGACUGGGAUAACUCCGGGAAACCGGGGCUAAUACCGGAUAACAUUUUGAACUGCAUGGUUCGAAAUUGAAAGGCGGCUUCGGCUGUCACUUAUGGAUGGACCCGCGUCGCAUUAGCUAGUUGGUGAGGUAACGGCUCACCAAGGCAACGAUGCGUAGCCGACCUGAGAGGGUGAUCGGCCACACUGGGACUGAGACACGGCCCAGACUCCUACGGGAGGCAGCAGUAGGGAAUCUUCCGCAAUGGACGAAAGUCUGACGGAGCAACGCCGCGUGAGUGAUGAAGGCUUUCGGGUCGUAAAACUCUGUUGUUAGGGAAGAACAAGUGCUAGUUGAAUAAGCUGGCACCUUGACGGUACCUAACCAGAAAGCCACGGCUAACUACGUGCCAGCAGCCGCGGUAAUACGUAGGUGGCAAGCGUUAUCCGGAAUUAUUGGGCGUAAAGCGCGCGCAGGUGGUUUCUUAAGUCUGAUGUGAAAGCCCACGGCUCAACCGUGGAGGGUCAUUGGAAACUGGGAGACUUGAGUGCAGAAGAGGAAAGUGGAAUUCCAUGUGUAGCGGUGAAAUGCGUAGAGAUAUGGAGGAACACCAGUGGCGAAGGCGACUUUCUGGUCUGUAACUGACACUGAGGCGCGA